rnacentral:rRNA from 1 species
GAUGAACGCUAGCGGGAGGCCUAACACAUGCAAGCCGAGCGGGAUUUGUUGGUUAGCUUGCUAACUAACAAUGAGAGCGGCGUACGGGUGCGUAGCACGUGUGCAACCUGCCUUUAUCUGGGGGAUAGCCUUUCGAAAGGAAGAUUAAUACCCCAUAACAUAUUGAUUGGCAUCAGUUAAUAUUGAAAGCUCCGGCGGAUAGAGAUGGGCACGCGUAAGAUUAGCUAGUUGGUGAGGUAACGGCUCACCAAGGCUGCGAUCUUUAGGGGGCCUGAGAGGGUGAUCCCCCACACUGGUACUGAGACACGGAACAGACUCCUACGGGAGGCAGCAGUGAGGAAUAUUGGACAAUGGGUGAGAGCCUGAUCCAGCCAUCCCGCGUGAAGGACUAAGGACCUAUGGUUUGUAAACUUCUUUUAUACAGGGAUAAACCUACUCUCGUGAGGGUAGCUGAAGGUACUGUAUGAAUAAGCACCGGCUAACUCCGUG